AAACAUCUAAGUACCCGGAGGAAGAGAAAACAAUAGUGAUUCCCUAAGUAGUGGCGAGCGAACGGGGAGGAGCCCAAACCGCGGUCUACGGGCUGCGGGGUUGUAGGACCUGCGUAAGUGUAUAUAUCAGAAAUCGAAGCCGCCUGGAAAGCGGCCCCACAGAAGGUGAUAGGCCUGUAGGUGUAACGAUAUAUAGAUGGCGGGUAUCCUGAGUAGCGCG
rnacentral:rRNA from 16 species